rnacentral:lncRNA from 1 species
AAGGCUCCCCCCAACCCCCGUGAGUCCCGUCCUGCCCUGCCUUGAACUAGAACUCGGAAACCAGGACACAUAACUAUAAGAGAGUAGCUGCCAAAACAAGCUCCCUAAGGUCGCACCUAAGAUCCGAAGGAAUCGCUUGAGAACUAACUGCAUACCUGAAGUUAGCUUGUGUGCGCAUAGCGUUAUCUUAUCUUUGAAUACUUCCUUUAGGCGGCUAGAAAGAUGCAUAGCGUUAUCUUAUCUUCGAAUACUUCCUUUAGGCGCCUAGAAAGAUGUUAUUUGUGUGGUCCAUUCUAGUGACAGCAUUUCAAUUCUAUUGUAUUUAUGUAGGAGUCGUUGUUUUUGCUUUGUUUGCCGGAUUGGUACGCUUUCUUUUCUAAAAACCCUUCUCUCAUAGGUCGUUACAUUUCAGGCCAUUUACGAUCGUUUAAAGGGCCUUAUAUUAUAAAGUAUAAAGAAAGUCAAGAUUGUUCUUGCGGAGAAAAGCCUACUUACUUGCUCUUGCUGCUUUUAAUUUAAGAGCAAGUCGGUCUAGCUUGUUACUCUUUCACCUUUCAAAGAAGUCGAAAUAGAAAGGGGUAGGAAAGAUCCCGUGUACCUUGUUCAAGUUGCGGAUCUCCUUCAUUAGCUUUGAGUUCAUUGUUGUUCUUCUGGUUCUCCUUUAAAAGGGGUCGUGGGGGAAAAGCNNN